GUUGAUAAAGAAGUAUGCAAAAUAUAAAAGCAAUAUGUCAAGAGACAUGUAUUUGAGCUGGUACGCAGACUUUAACAUUCCAACGCUCACGGGAACGCCGACGCCGGGGUACAAUAGAGCACUGACAAAAACAAGAGUGCUGAUUGAACAGACCUUCGGCGUUCUGAAGCGUAGAUUUGCCUGUCUCAGCUAUGGUUUGAGGGUGGACGAGGUGAAGGCCAGCCGCAUCGCCAUUGCGUGUGCUUUGUUACAUAACAUAGGCAUUCAAAGACAGGAUGUGUAUGCGAGAGGGACGCCGCCAUCUGACGACCACCCAAUGAAUGUUACCGAGGCUAACAACAAGAGCGGGGCACACUACAGAGAUUACAUAUGUGCGACCUACUUUCGAGAUUAGGAUUAUCAAAGCACUGCACAAAUCAGUCGACAGUGGUGCCUUUGAAUGGACAACUGUCUGGGGAUCUGGAUACAAAUUGAAUUGUUAUGUUAUUACAAAUUUUGAAUGUUAUUAUUUGCGAGUAUGUUUGUCCUCAAAUGCC